UACGUAGGGCGCAAGCGUUAUCCGGAAUUAUUGGGCGUAAAGAGCUCGUAGGCGGUUCGUCACGUCGGCUGUGAAAACCUGAGGCUCAACCUCAGGCCUGCAGUCGAUACGGGCGGACUUGAGUACUGCAGGGGAGACUGGAAUUCCUGGUGUAGCGGUGAAAUGCGCAGAUAUCAGGAGGAACACCGAUGGCGAAGGCAGGUCUCUGGGCCAUUACUGACACUGAGAAGCGGAAAGCAUGGGGAGCGAACAGG
rnacentral:rRNA from 1 species